rnacentral:rRNA from 1 species
GACGAACGCUGGCGGCGUGCCUAAUACAUGCAAGUCGAACGCACUCUCGUUUAGAUUGCAGGAGUUUGCUCCUGAUUGAUAAACAUUUGAGUGAGUGGCGGACGGGUGAGUAACACGUGGGUAACCUGCCCUAAAGUGGGGGAUAGCAUUUGGAAACAGAUGCUAAUACCGCAUAAAACCUAACACCGCAUGGUGUAGGGUUGAAAGAUGGUUUCGGCUAUCACUUUAGGAUGGACCCGCGGUGCAUUAGUUAGUUGGUGAGGUAAAGGCUCACCAAGACCGUGAUGCAUAGCCGCCCUGAGGGGGUAAUCGGCCACACUGGGGCUGAGACACGGCCCAGACUCCUACGGGAGGCAGCAGUAGGGAAUCUUCCACAAUGGACGAAAGUCUGAAGGAGCAACGCCGGGUGAGUGAAGAAGGUUUUCGGAUCGUAAAACUCUGUUGUUGGAUAAGAAUGUAUCUGAUAGUAACUGAUCAGGUAGGGACGGGAUCCAACCAGAAAGCCCCGGCUAACUACGU